rnacentral:rRNA from 1 species
UACGGGGGGGGCAAGCGUUGUUCGGAAUUACUGGGCGUAAAGGGCUCGUAGGUGGCCAACUAAGUCAGACGUGAAAUCCCUCGGCUUAACCGGGGAACUGCGUCUGAUACUGGAUGGCUUGAGAUUGGGAGAGGGAUGCGGAAUUCCAGGUGUAGCGGUGAAAUGCGCAGAUAUCAGGAGGAACACCAAUGGCGAAGGCAGCUCGCUGGAACGGUACUGACGCUGAGGCGCGAAAGCGUGGGGAGCGAACAGG